GUCGAGAAUCUUCCGCAAUGGGCGCAAGCCUGACGGAGCGACACCGCGUGCAGGAUGAAGGCCUUCGGGUUGUAAACUGCUGUCACGCUAUAGGAAUGGUCUGGUGUGAACAAUGCCAGGCUUGACUAAAGCGAGAGGAAGCACCGGCUAACUCCGUGCCAGCAGCCGCGGUAAGACGGAGGGUGCAAACGUUGUUCGGAAUCACUGGGCAUAAAGAGCACGUAGGCUGCGCGCUAAGUCAAGUGUGAAAUCCCCCGGCUCAACCGGGGAACUGCACCUGAUACUGGCGCGCUCGAGGACGGUAGGGGUGAGUGGAACUCCAGGUGGAGCGGUGAAAUGCGUAGAUAUCUGGAGGAACACCGGUGGCGAAAGCGGCUCACUGGACCGUCUCUGACGCUGAGGUGCGAAAGCUAGGGUAGCAAACGGGAUUAGAUACCCCAGUAGUCC
rnacentral:rRNA from 1 species